AGGACGAACGCUGGCGGCGUGCUUAACACAUGCAAGUCGAGCGGUGAUCCUCCUUCGGGAGGUGAUCAGCGGCGAACGGGUGAGUAACACGUGGGCAACCUGCCCCUCACACUGGGAUAACCUCGGGAAACCGGGGCUAAUACCGGAUACGACCUCGAGCGGCAUCUCUUGAGGUGGAAAGCUCCGACGGUGAGGGAUGGGCCCGCGGCCUAUCAGCUUGUUGGUGGGGUAAUGGCCUACCAAGGCGACGACGGGUAGCCGGCCUGAGAGGGCGACCGGCCACGACUGGGACUGAGACACGGCCCAGACUCCUACGGGAGGCAGCAGUGGGGAAUAUUGCGCAAUGGGCGAAAGCCUGACGCAGCGACGCCGCGUGAGGGAUGACGGCCUUGGGUUGUAAACCUCUUUCAGCAGGGACGAAGCGAAAGUGACGGUACCUGCAGAAGAAGCACCGGCUAACUACGUGCCAGCAGCCGC
rnacentral:rRNA from 1 species